GCAGAACCUCAGCUAACCCAUGAUGAAUACAUACUGUGGUCAAGAAAUAACUACUAUUGUUGAAAGAAGAAGAAAAGGCUGUGCAUUUUUUCCAGAAGGACAAGAGAGAGAUGCCUGUUUUCUGAAUUCAGGAAAUAGCAAAAGAGAGUGGAAUUGAACAUCUACCGAAUGCUUGCUGACAGAGGACCUUAAACCUACAAAAAAUCAAGAAACCCUCCAUGUAACAAAAGGAAAAAAAACAGAGAGAGAUAAAAAAGGAAUCAGGACGGGACUAGCACUCCUGAGAGGGAGCUGUUAAAGAGGAAAGAAACCCACACCCUGGGAAGCCACCUAACCAAUGGCGAGAUCAGCCAAGAUUUAGGGACUUCAAAGUCAUGGAGGAAAGCACAGCAGCUGGACUGAGGAGAGCAAAGCAGAAUGAGAGCUGCAUAGACCAUCUCCACCACCAUCCCCAGAUACCACAGCCAGAGAUACUUGGGAGGGGACUGUGUCCUGAGACUCAGGCUCCAGAGGUCAGUUCCAGGGAGGGGACUAGGGUUGGCUGUGUGGUGACAGCCUGAGGGGCUAGGGAGUGGUACAUAAUAGGCUGAGGAGCAGAGUGUCAUAGCCAAAGGAACCCAGGAGGAGUUCUGGCUCAGGAGAAGCAAGGUGCCAUUGCUGGAGAAGAUGAGAGGAGGAGGGGUGGGCUGCCAUAGUAAUCUCUUUCCCUGUGCAUGUGCAGACUCCCAGAGGGCAGGGCACAUCUGGCACAGGCUACAGGUGGUUAGGUGCCACUUGCUUGGGCUACAGAUGACCAGGCACCUCUUGUGUGGGCUACAGGUGGCUUGGUACCUCUUGUGUGGGCUAAGGGUAGUGGGGAGCUAAGCACAAUGUGGCACCUCUUGUGUGACCUACAGUGGCAGGGACGAACCACAGCAAUCAUCUCAGACACCAGAGGGAGGCAUGGCCCACCAACACUAGGGGUCUGUGAACAG
rnacentral:lncRNA from 1 species